UACGGGGGGGGCAAGCGUUGUUCGGAAUUACUGGGCGUAAAGGGCUCGUAGGCGGCCAACUAAGUCGGACGUGAAAUCCCUCGGCUUAACCGGGGAACUGCAUCCGAUACUGGAUGGCUUGAGUUCGGGAGAGGGAUGCAGAAUUCCCGGUGUAGCGGUGAAAUGCGCAGAUAUCGGGAGGAACACCAAUGGCGAAGGCAGCUCGCUGGGACGUUACUGACGCUGAGACGCGAAAGCGUGGGGAGCAAACAGG
rnacentral:rRNA from 1 species